UCUCAUGGAUAAACAAAGAAAGUGGUUUGUUGAGAUAGAAUCUACUCCUGGUGAAGAUGCCAUGAA
rnacentral:pre_miRNA from 2 species